GAUGAACGCUAGCGGCAGGCCUAACACAUGCAAGUCGAGGGAGAAGCCCUUUCGGGGGCAGAAACCGGCGCACGGGUGCGUAACGCGUAUGCAACCUACCUUUCACAGGGGGAUAGCCCGAAGAAAUUUGGAUUAAUACCCAUAACUAUUAUUGGAUGCCACCAUUUGAUAAUUAAAACUGCGUUGCGGAAAGUGGGGAAGGCGUCCUAUUAGCUAGUUGUGGUGGUAACGGCACCCCAAGCCUACGAUAGGUAGGGGUCCUGAGGGGAGGAUCCCUCACACUGGUACUGGGACAGGGAGCAGACUCAUACGGGCGGCAGCAGUGAGGAAUAUUGGUCAAUGGUCGGAAGACUGAACCGGCCAAGCCGCAUGCAGGAAGAAUGCCUUAUGGGUUGUAAACUGCUUUUAUAUGGGAAGAAUAAGGCGUACGUGUACGUUGAUGACGGUAACAUAUGAAUAAGCAUCGGCUAACUCCGUG
rnacentral:rRNA from 1 species